rnacentral:rRNA from 1 species
AGUGAACGCUGGCGGUAGGCCUAACACAUGCAAGUCGAACGGCAGCACAGUAAGAGCUUGCUCUUACGGGUGGCGAGUGGCGGACGGGUGAGGAAUACAGCGGAAUCUACUUUUUCGUGGGGGAUAACGUAGGGAAACUUACGCUAAUACCGCAUACGACCUACGGGUGAAAGCAGGGGAUCUUCGGACCUUGCGCGAUUGAAUGAGCCGAUGUCGGAUUAGCUAGUUGGCGGGGUAAAGGCCCACCAAGGCGACGAUCCGUAGCUGGUCUGAGAGGAUGAUCAGCCACACUGGAACUGAGACACGGUCCAGACUCCUACGGGAGGCAGCAGUGGGGAAUAUUGGACAAUGGGCGCAAGCCUGAUCCAGCCAUACCGCGUGGGUGAAGAAGGCCUUCGGGUUUUAAAGCCCUUUUGUUGGGAAAGAAAAGCAGCAGGUUAAUACCCCGCUGUUCUGACGUUACCCAAAGAAUAAGCACCGGCUAACUUCGUG